GUCGAGUUUGUGAAAGUUGUACAAGAAAAAGCCAAAGAACUAUCAUUGGAUUUAAAAAGCAUAACUCAACUAUAUAAUGAAUAUGCGGUUCCUUUUGAACUCUGGUUUUGAACUCUGGGAGGUAUGUCUUGAGAUGCUUUACUUUGCAAAUUAUUCUGGUGAUGCUGAUAGUAGCAUUAUAAGGGAAACCUGGGCUAGACUAAUAGAUCAAGCUCUUUCAAGUGGUGGCAUUGCUGAAGCUUGUUCAGUGUUGAGAGGGUUGGUUCCCACAUGUAUCCUGGAGAUGGAGCUGUUUUACCUUUAGAUACUUUAUGUCUUCACCUUGAGAAGGCCGCUCUGGAGAGACUGGAAUCAGGGGUUGAAUCUGUUGGAG
rnacentral:misc_RNA from 1 species